UCUCGUCUGAGAAAGCAACAUCGAGAGUUGUCGAGCAGGCCGAUGGAUUCAUCGGUGCAUAUGCUUCUUCGAGAUCGGAGACAGAAGCUCGAGGCCUACGACUGAGUCACUGAGUGUUCCGUCGGCCGUUGACGUUGAACUGCGAAGAGGCUCACGUCGCUGAGUUCGACAAUCAACUUCGGCUCCAUUUCAAUCGCCGUGGUAUGCACUUCGUGUUAUACAGGGAGAGAGAGAAUAAUCGAGAAAUCUUCGUAGACGGCCAGUUCCUUAGGACGUUCCAACGAUGAUGGAAUUUGUCCAUCAAUCAUCACACUUAUCAAAUCGUUUCUUUCCCGAUUAAACUCGGGUGUCAAAUUUUGAAUUCCUUUUUCAUAGCCGCAAAUGAGAGUCACUGUUUCUUCGGUCCAUAUGGUUGCUGGUGCUAAUUGGUUCGAGAGUACUGGUUUGAGUUUGAUGCGGUGGUGUCAAGGUAUGGGAGGUGCCAUGUGUUAGACGACGCACAGAAGGUAUUCGGUGAAAUUAUCCAAGACAAGGAUCAGUAAUGUUGCCUUGCGGAAUUCAAUUAUGCUUAGCCAGGAACCGUAGGAAUGCGCUCAUCUCAGUUAGAGCAUUCGGAUUCCAACAAAUAAGCCAAGUCAAACGUCUCCUUUUACGUAUGAUCAUGUGCGAUUUUGCUUCAUGUUCUGUUUUCGUACUCAUAUUCCCAUCUCUUAAUGUUUCCUGUUCAGAGUACCUCGUUGCUCCUGCCUUUUACUUCAUUGCCACAGAGACCUUUCUUGUUUCAAUCAGUAGCCUGGAGUUGUUUGUCAAGUUGAGUGAAACAGAGUUGCUCUUCUUUGUUAUUGAAUGCUGGGACACGUUAUCAAUUACCUUGAGUUAGAUGUGGUCAAUUUUCAAUAAGAUUCAGAUCAAAUAGUAAUGACCACCAAAGCCCCCUCAUCUUCCAGGUUCUUGCUUCUCAUCUAAAUGAAGUUCAUAAGUAAUUUGUGCAUGUUUAAGAAAUUGUGACAUUCUGGUUGAGUAUACGGAAGGGUGUCUUUAAGUCUGUGCAACUUGACAAAGUUUAUUUUUGAGGAGCAAGGCCCAUGUAAGUGGGGCUACAUUCUUGAUUGGCUUCUUUUUAGUGGGUACCAUAGUAUUUCACCUAGAGGCCUGGAACAAUGGCACAGCUUCCGGUAUCAUUUCCAUUGCCUACUGAACAUGCUGGAUUAAGGGCUAUACCUGCAGUACGUGCUCGCCAUAUGGUAAUUUCUUGGUCAUAAGUGCUGUAGAUACAUGUUCAAUGCAUGUUGAUUUCUUGGCUAUGAGUGCUGCUUCUAGAUGUUAAAUUGACUGCGUUUGGUUUGUGUAUGCUGGCUUCAAUAUGCUGGCUAUGCAUGUUGAUGCCAUGUUUCAUGUAUGUUGUCUGGGUGGUUUGGUUUGUGACAGGUUAAUACUUCCAUAAUUUAUGAGUGUUUUGAUAAUAUAUUGUCUAUUCUGGUUGGUGCAUUUUUACGGGUCCAUUGAUGAGUGGAUGUAUUAUUCCAAGUGGAUUUCUUUCAAUAAGCCGGUCCAGAGUUUUGAAACUUGGUUUGUUCAAUGUCAAUCUUCUUGUUACGCAUAUUAUUGGUGGGUGUCAAUCAAACUAGUGAUUGCCUAAAGAUACCCUUUUUACCUAUUGACUCACUAUUUCGUUCAAUUAAGGGGCUAUCAUCUUUAUGACAUUGAGUUCUUUACUGUGCACAUUUCUUUAGUGAUGACAUCCACUAACAUAUGAAAAAUAGUUAAAAUUUUAUAAGGAUCUCAAUAUGGAAAAAUGGACACUUUAGUGUCUAUAUCCAUUCCAAUGCUCAGUGAUUCCAUAGAACUAUAUACACUUUCAUUUGAAUGUAUAAAAUGCAAAAUCCAACCGAAAACACAAACAAAGAAAAACUCGAGAACAAUAAAAAACUUCAUCAAAAUAUCAUGGUCGACCAUAGCUGAUCUAUGAGGACUACCCCAGCUCCUAUCACUUCUAACUUCAUCGAGACGCCAAUAGUGGUCCCGAAAUAAUAGGAAAGAAUGAAAUUACCUAGACAUUGAAAUUUUAAAAAAAGUAUAAGAAAAGUGAAGCUAACUAGUUAUGUACCGUGGUGAACUUAGAGAAGUACCAUGAAUUACUUCUUCACGAAAUAGGAGGAAGAUCACAGCCAUCCUUUCCAUUGCCUUGAUGGUCUUCAACUUUCUUGAGGCAAAACCAAAGGCUGCCAUCCACCCUGAAGGACCAAAGCUGAAUGACAACAUCCUUCAUGAGUUCAUUUCGCGCAUAAGGAUGCGCGACUCCAUUCCACCUCUCCGUCAACACGAUUCGGAUCUCUUCUUCGCGCAGGAAACUUUGCCUUAUCUGCUUGUUGGGUAUAGAGAGCCUACUUUGGCCUCGGCUCAUGUCCGUGGCAGUAAGAGUCUUCUCCACCACGAGCGUCAUAUACCGACCGUGCAUCUCCUGAAUUUUGUCCAUGUACUUCGUCGGCAAUUUGCUUGGUCCGAUUAGAGCCGCGAGACCCAUCUUGGGAGUUUUCUUGGGUUUCUUGGAAACUCUUCCCCAUUCUUGGGUUUCGGAGGAAUCAAAUGUACGCGACCUCUUCUUGUGGUUCUCAGCGACAGCUCUCGAAGGUUCUUGCUUGUUGUUUUGGACAACGACAAAUGGGUCAGAACUUGACGUCUGGGCGUGGAAUGUCGGCCUUCGCGCUCGCGGGGAUCUCUUCUUCCGAACGAUCCAUCCGACACCGAUUGGCCCAAAAGUGGUGGUGGUCACGAGGGUGACCUUCUUCUCAACAUCACGAUCCAAGAUGGAAGGCCCGAGACUUAGCUUUCCCUCGGAGAUGAAAGAAGCUACGUCUGCCAAGAGAUUGAGAGAUGAGAAAUCGAGCUUCAUCUUUCU